rnacentral:lncRNA from 1 species
GUGAAAAACAAUUAGGUCACUUGCCCAAGGCCAUGCUGCCUGCCUUUGCUUUUAAUCACCACUGGGCUUUGCCUGUAGAGCAAUGUCAGGGCCACCAUACCAAGUCAGUUCUGCUUCAAGUUUGAAGAACAGAGAAAGAUCACAGCAUAACAAACUUCAGGUUAAUAUCCUGCAACAGUAUUCAGAAGGACAUCACUAUAUAGCAGUUUCUCCCUCGCCUCCACCCUUAAGAGUCAAGGCAGCUGCUUCCAGCAGGGGGCAGACAUCAGACAACGCUGCCUUUUGAAAAGAUAUGCCUUCACUUCCGGCCUGGGAUGGGUUUGGUGACUCCGUUUGCCUCAACUCUCAGCUCAUUUCCUAGAGAUGUGGGCUACAUUUUGUAGUUCUAUCAACCUAGUAGGAUUCCAUUGGCUUUAAAUCUUCUGUAUUUGUGACUCUCUUUCUCAAAUUAUGUCCCCACGUGUCCAUUAUCCAAGUGCUCUCUAAAUCACCCCACCUUCUUACUCACCUUCUGCCUGUGGAUUCAAAUGCCUGAUUGCACGGAGAUGUCUGCCUAACUCACUUCAACAUGUGUGUUACCUUUUAUUCCCAACUUCCUCAUCAAAUCGAAUAUGUUUUCAACCAUUAUUUCCUUCAUGAUGACUGGUUAUUUUUGAUACUCUCCAAAGUGUCGUGUCCACUUCCCUUAUUUCUAAACCUUUAGUCUCUUUUCCCCUUGUCUCACCAUCUGCCUUUUACUCAGGGAUUUAUAUGGAUUCCUCACACUCACUAACCCAGUAGUCCUCUUCCCACUAAUUUAAACAAAACAUUUGGAAACUCUGCCAGUCUCAUCUCUUCAGAUAAAAUCCAAGUGUCUGUUUGUCUGUCUCUCUGUCAGAAUCUUUCAUUGCCUUCUGAUAGUUUGUUCUGUUUCUCUGCUGCCUCCCUCCCCACUGAAAUUGCGCCUACCUCUUAUUUGAGGAUAUAGUGUCAACCCCCAAUCUACUUGCCUGACUCAAGCUGGAUAUCACGGCAAAUGUGGUUUUGUCAGAUCAUGGUACUCAGCUCAAAUUCCAACUACCUGCAUCUCCACAGUUUCAUUUCCCCCUCACAUACGUGUUCAAUUCCAACAUGGGUUGAAAUCUAGUUUUCUUAUAGCCUCAUGUUCCAAAGGAAACCGACCUUAAUGAAUAGUGUCCAAGACCAAAUGAGGUCAAGCAUGCUGGCACCGUAUGGCUGUGGACAGACCCAAUUGGCCUUCCCAUUCAAGUACACCUGGGCCUAAUCCUGCUUAUCUUUUUCAAUGC